rnacentral:rRNA from 1 species
CCUACGGGUGGCAGCAGUGGGGAAUCUUCCGCAAUGGGCGAAAGCCUGACGGAGCAACGCCGCGUGAUCGAAUGAAGGCCUUCGGGUUGUAAAGAUCUGUUGACAGGGACGAAUAAGCAAUGCGAAUAGUCUUGUGUAUGACGGUUACUGUUUAGAAAGCUCCGGCUAACUACGGGCCAGCAGCCGCGGUAAUACGUAGGGAGCAAGCGUUGUCCGGAAUUACUGGGCGUAAAGGGCGCGUAGGUGGGCGCUUAAGUCAGGUGUGAAAACUCCGGGCUCAACCUGGAGACUGCACUUGAAACUGGGUGUCUUGAGGGCAGGAGAGGAAAGUGGAAUUCCUGGUGUAGGGGUAAAAUGCGUAGAGAUCAAGAGGAAUACUCAUUGCGAAGGCAGCCUACUAGAACAUAACUGACGCUGAUGCGCGAAAGCGUGGGGAGCAAACAGGAUUAGAUACCCCAGUAGUC